rnacentral:rRNA from 1 species
CGAACGCUGGCGGCAGGCUUAACACAUGCAAGUCGAGCGAGAUCUUCGGAUCUAGCGGCGGACGGGUGAGUAACGCGUGGGAACGUGCCCUUUGCUACGGAAUAGUCCCGGGAAACUGGGUUUAAUACCGUAUACGCCCUUCGGGGGAAAGAUUUAUCGGCAAAGGAUCGGCCCGCGUUGGAUUAGGUAGUUGGUGGGGUAAUGGCCUACCAAGCCGACGAUCCAUAGCUGGUUUGAGAGGAUGAUCAGCCACACUGGGACUGAGACACGGCCCAGACUCCUACGGGAGGCAGCAGUGGGGAAUCUUAGACAAUGGGGGCAACCCUGAUCUAGCCAUGCCGCGUGAGUGAUGAAGGCCUUAGGGUUGUAAAGCU